GCAGGUGUGACACCAAUUUCAGAGCCAAGGAGAGGGGAAUUCAAGUUAUCAGAAUUGACAACAAAGCACAAGCUGAGUUUGUCAGCGGUUGUUCAUUGUCUCCGUGUUCAUCUCAAAACACUUUGGGAAGCCAAAGAUACUGCUGCUAGAUUUCAAAAGCCUGAAAAUCUAUGACUUUUCCAGUCAUAAAAAACAGUUCUGCAAGCCUUGAUAAGGAAGUUUAUACUGAUUUCAUUGCAACAGAUUUAACACUGAGAAAACAAAGCCAAAAGCAAUAGGUGCUAAUGUUCUGGUGCAAGUUCGGAUCCAAAGCAUUUUCACCACUUCAAAGCAAGUAAGAGGGUCACAAACUGCAUGGAAUCUUAGUUGCGGCAUGUGAGAUUCUCAUUCCUCAACCAGGGAUCAGACCCAGGCCUCCUGCGUUGGACGCACCGAGUCUUAGCCACUGGACCACCAAGGAAAUCUCAAGGUUCUACAUUGCCUGUGAUGGCUCCUUACAUCCCUGUGAUAGUAGGACUAUCUAAUGUUAGACAGGAGCCUCAACUUCAGAAGAAUAAUUAGAUGUAUCACUUUAAAAGUAACGUUAUUCUUGACUUGAACAAACAGCUGAAACUUUUCUUUGAAAAGUUGUAAUAAGGAACAGGCAAGAGAGUUGGGCAGAAGCUGAGUGAGGCUCAUUAUACUAAUUCUCCAGGGAACCCAGGGACCAUAAAUCUUAGGAUAAGAGUAGAUCCCUGAAGAAAACAAAGCUGCCAUCCAAAUCUUCCAACCCUUAUGUCACUUCCACAAGGAGAUGUGUUUAUUCCAGGAGUAGCUCAUUUACUGUCUUAUAGAGCCCCAUUGUCCACAGGAGAAAUAUCUCACAGAGACUGGCCCAACGUGAAGAAUGUAAUAGAAGUCUUUAUCAGUCAAAAUCACCCUCAAUCAGUCCAAAAGGAGGAUAAAGGAAGAUUCCACUAAACGGUAACUGAAUGCUUCCCAGGCUUUUCCCAGGAUGAGCUUGCUGAACUUGGAAAUUUUCAAGACAUUCUGGCCUCAUCAGAUCCUGUGAAUUGAAUGAUGACAAAAUUAAGGAAAUCAUUCUCCCACCCAGGAAAACCCAAAUGACCAUUCAGGAUACUUUGGAAAAGAACUGUUGUUCUUAAAGGAUGCCAUCAAAUUCAUGAGAGAUAGGGGCCUCAUACCAAUGGUAUAAGAUCUGCACUCAGAUCAAGCUCAAGAUAUACUCAUGUGAACCAGGUUAUCUUCUGAAAUCCUGUGAGUAGUGUAUUUUAGAUAGCCUGAUUGGAAUCUCCCUAGAGGGCUGCCUGGUGGCUCAGACAGCAAAGAAUCUGCCUGCAAUGCAGGAGCUGCUGCUGCUGCUGCUAAGACACAUCAGUCAUGUCCGACUCCUCGAGACCCCAUGGACUGUAGCCUACCAGGCUCCUCCGUCCAAGGGAUUUCCCAGACAAGAGUACUGGAGUGGGUUGCCAUUGCCUUCUCCACAAUGCAGGAGACCUGGGUUCAAUCCCUGGGUCGGGUAGAUCCCCUGA
ensembl:lncRNA